rnacentral:rRNA from 1 species
GAUGAACGCUGGCGGCGUGCCUAAUACAUGCAAGUCGAGCGAACAGACGAGGAGCUUGCUCCUCUGACGUUAGCGGCGGACGGGUGAGUAACACGUGGAUAACCUACCUAUAAGACUGGGAUAACUUCGGGAAACCGGAGCUAAUACCGGAUAACAUAUUGAACCGCAUGGUUCAAUAGUGAAAGACGGUUUUGCUGUCACUUAUAGAUGGAUCCGCGCCGCAUUAGCUAGUUGGUAAGGUAACGGCUUACCAAGGCAACGAUGCGUAGCCGACCUGAGAGGGUGGUCGGCCACACUGGAACUGAGACACGGUCCAGACUCCUACGGGAGGCAGCAGUAGGGAAUCUUCCGCAAUGGGCGAAAGCCUGACGGAGCAACGCCGCGUGAGUGAUGAAGGUCUUCGGAUCGUAAAACUCUGUUAUUAGGGAAGAACAAAUGUGUAAGUAACUAUGCACGUCUUGACGGUACCUAAUCAGAAAGCCACGGCUAACUACGUG